ensembl:lncRNA
CAUACAUCUUGUCAUUUCCUUGUUCUGCCCUGCGUGGUAUUACAGUGAGCCCGUAUAUACGAAAGUUGCAUUUGCCAUUUAUUACUUAGCUAAUAAAAAAUACAUAGUAUACAAUCGGUGACUCAUUGUUAUAUUUAUCCUGAUACCAGAUUCGAAUUUACUCUAACAAGAGUAGGACUCGGGUUCAGGAGAGCAGGACUCGGGUUCAGGAGAGCAGGACUCUUGAUCAGGAGAGCAGGACUCUUGAUCAGGAGAGCAGGAUUCGGGUUCAGGAGAGCAGGACUCGGGUUCAGGAGAGCAGGACUCUUGAUCAGGAGAGCAGGACUCGGGUUCAGGAGAGUAGGACUCUGGUUCAGGAGAGCAGGACUCGGGUUCAGGAGAGCAGGACUCGGGUUCAGGAGAGCGAUUUGAACUAUGAGGAUUUCGACUCAGCCGACAAAGAUUGCUUUCAAGAAGGAUUGGGUCCACUUUUAGAUCUAGUGGAGGAUGCAGAGGAUUUGGAUGAUGACGUUUGGGAGCCACCCCACUCCAGUAAGCGCCCCCGAUGGUUAAGGUCUUCAUCCUCCACUGCUAUGUCAAUCACCCUGUCUGAUGGUUCUACAUCCACUUUUCAUAGACCUCUUGAAAAAUAAAAUAGGGGCUUGUGGCACCAUUCGUCCUAACAGAAUCAGAUUCCCCAAGACCCAGGUAAACAACAUGACAAAAACAGAGGAGAGGGGGACCUUAAGUUGGAUCAGGACUAACAAGCUGCUUUUUGUGAAAUGGAACGACACCAGGGAAGUAACCAUGCUCAUCACACAGUAUAAUCAUUCAAUAAUGAAAUGCCAGUUUGCUUUUUGUUUCCUGGCAGAGGGACUGCUUCAAAGACUAUCAAGACAUGCACAAGCUACGGUGAAAGGGAAAUCUAAUCAGCUACACCUGGGACGUAAAACGAACAGGAAUGCCAUUUGUAAAUAAUUCACCUUGUUUCUAUUUUUGCACCUUGAAGGACACAAUGUUUUGAUAAGGCAUUUUUAUAUAUAUUUGAAUGUAAAUCUGUUGCUUUUAUGUUGUUUUUGUAAACAGUUCAUUUGUAUGUGGGACCAAUACAUUGGAUAUGCCCAGGGUAAACAUUCAGGCACUGUGGAGAGGCUGAAAAAAACAACACUUGGAUAUCCCCUGUAUGUUCCCUUAACCAACAAUUCAGUUUAAGAAAAUAGAGUUAAGAAAAUAUUUACGAAAUAAACUAAAGUAAAUAUAAAUAACACAAAAUAGCAAUAAUGAGGCUAUAUACAGGGGUAACAGGUACCGAGUCAAUGUGUG